AUACCCAAUGGGUAUAAUACCUUCUGAUGGAUCCACUAAGAUCAGAUUGGGCUGGAAUGCAUCAAGUCAAUCUUUGACUUUAUUAUUUCCAUCUAUUUCUUGGGAUCGAUGUCGCACAUUAUCUCGUCAUAGGUCUUAGGAUCAACUACUUGAUCCCUAUCUCCUAUAAAGAGCAUUUUCUUUACAUGCCCUGAAAGCAUAUCCAAGUACUUUUCAUGAGGAUG
rnacentral:lncRNA from 1 species